CCUACGGGCGGCAGCAGUAGGGAAUCUUCCACAAUGGACGAAAGUCUGAUGGAGCAACGCCGCGUGAGUGAAGAAGGGUUUCGGCUCGUAAAGCCCUGUUGGUAGUGAAGAAAGAUAGAGGUAGUAACUGGCCUUUAUUUGACGGUAAUUACUUAGAAAGUCACGGCUAACUACUUGCCAGCAGCCGCGGUAAUACGUAGGUUGCAAGCGUUGUCCGGAUUUAUUGGGCGUAAAGCGAGUGCAGGCGGUUCAAUAAGUCUGAUGUGAAAGCCUUCGGCUCAACCGGAGAAUAGCAUCAGAAACUGUUGAACUUGAGUGCAGAAGAGGAGAGUGGAACUCCAUGUGUAGCGGUGGAAUGCGUAGAUAUAUGGAAGAACACCAGUGGCGAAGGCGGCUCUCUGGUCUGCAACUGACGCUGAGGCUCGAAAGCAUGGGUAGCGAACAGGAUUAGAUACCCUAGUAGUC
rnacentral:rRNA from 1 species